AGUGAACGCUGGCGGUAGGCCUAACACAUGCAAGUCGAACGGCAGCACAGUAGGAGCUUGCUCUUACGGGUGGCGAGUGGCGGACGGGUGAGGAAUACAUCGGAAUCUACUUUUUCGUGGGGGAUAAUGUAGGGAAACUUACGCGAAUACCGCAUACGACCUACGGGUGAAAGCAGGGGAUCUUCGGACCUUGCGCGAUUGAAUGAGCCGAUGUCGGAUUAGCUAGUUGGCGGGGUAAAGGCCCACCAAGGCGACGAUCCGUAGCUGGUCUGAGAGGAUGAUCAGCCACACUGGAACUGAGACACGGUCCAGACUCCUACGGGAGGCAGCAGUGGGGAAUAUUGGACAAUGGGGGAAAGCCUGAUCCAGCCAUACCGCGUGGGUGAAGAAGGCCUUCGGGUUGUAAAGCCCUUUUGUUGGGAAAGAAAAGCAGCAGGUUAAUACCCCGCUGUUCUGACGGUACCCAAAGAAUAAGCACCGGCUAACUUCGUG
rnacentral:rRNA from 1 species